AUUCCCCUAGUAACGGCGAGUGAAGCGGGAAAAGCUCAAAUUUGAAAUCUGGCGGUCUACGGCCGUCCGAGUUGUAGUCUAGAGAGGUGUCUUCUGCGUCGGACCAUGCACAAGUCCCUUGGAACAGGGCGUCAUAGAGGGUGAGAAUCCCGUCCGUGGCAUGGACUCCCGGUGCUUUGUGAUGCGCCUUCGAAGAGUCGAGUUGUUUGGGAAUGCAGCUCAAAAUGGGUGGUAAAUUCCAUCUAAAGCUAAAUACAGGCGAGAGACCGAUAGCGAACAAGUACCGUGAGGGAAAGAUGAAAAGCACUUUGGAAAGAGAGUUAAACAGUACGUGAAAUUGUUGAAAGGGAAACGCUUGGAGUCAGUCGCGUUUGCCGGGACUCAGCCUUGCUUCUGCUUGGUGCACUUCCUGGUACACGGGCCAGCAUCGAUUUUGAUCGCCGGAAAAAGGCUUGGGGAAGGUGGCACCUUCGGGUGUGUUAUAGCCCCUUGUUGUAUACGGUGGUUGGGAUUGAGGACCGCAGCACGCCUUUUGGUCGGGGUUCGCCCACGCCACGUGCUUAGGAUGCUGGCGUAAUGGCUUUAAACGACCCGUCUUGAAACACGGACCAAGGAGUCUAACAUGCCUGCGAGUGUUUGGGUGUAAAACCCAGGCGCGUAAUGAAAGUGAAAGGUUGGGACUCUUCGCUGAGGCACCGACGCCCGAUCCUGACGUUCUCUGACGGAUUUGAGGUANAGCAUGUAUGUUGGGACCCGAAAGAUGGUGAACUAUGCCUGNAUAGGGCGAAGCCAGAGGAAACUCUGG
rnacentral:rRNA from 1 species